UCGCGAGAGCAAGCGGACCUCAUAAAGUGCGUCGUAGUCCGGAUUGGAGUCUGCAACUCGACUCCAUGAAGUCGGAAUCGCUAGUAAUCGUGGAUCAGAAUGCCACGGUGAAUACGUUCCCGGGCCUUGUACACACCGCCCGUCACACCAUGGGAGUGGGUUGCAAAAGAAGUAGGUAGCUUAACCUUCGGGAGGGCGCUUACCACUUUGUGAUUCAUGACUGGGGUGAAGUCGUAACAAGGUAACCGUAGGGGAACCUGCGGUUGGAUCACCUCCUUA
rnacentral:rRNA from 2 species